UGGGGAAUUUUGGACAAUGGGCGCAAGCCUGAUCCAGCCAUGCCGCGUGCGGGAAGAAGGCCUUCGGGUUGUAAACCGCUUUUGUCAGGGAAGAAACGCUCCGGGCUAAUACCUCGGAGUAAUGACGGUACCUGAAGAAUAAGCACCGGCUAACUACGUGCCAGCAGCCGCGGUAAUACGUAGGGUGCAAGCGUUAAUCGGAAUUACUGGGCGUAAAGCGUGCGCAGGUGGUCGUGCAAGACAGAUGUGAAAUCCCCGGGCUUAACCUGGGAACUGCAUUUGUGACUGCUCGACUCGAGUGCGGCAGAGGGGGAUGGAAUUCCGCGUGUAGCAGUGAAAUGCGUAGAUAUGCGGAGGAACACCGAUGGCGAAGGCAAUCCCCUGGGCCUGCACUGACACU
rnacentral:rRNA from 1 species